rnacentral:misc_RNA from 1 species
GAAAGACUUGAUCUCUCCAGCAAUUCUUGUUGGAUACUGAGAACAAUCAAAAGCUUCUAUUUCACUUAUGCCACUGACACCUUCAAGCAGGUUUUCAUAAAACGUGUGGGGAUCAUGACCAACUGAUGUGGCCACACCCAUCCCUGUCACAACAACUCGCCUUUCCUUGGUUGGAGGUUUCUUCUUUGGUGCGGCUUCCAUGGCCGAUUCGGAUGCAAUUGCCAUUACCUCCCCUGUUUGAGCAUAAGAGAUAAUUUUUGUUGGAGGAGGAUUAGCUGCGGAUCCGGUAAAGAGAAAGCAGGAAUUGGAAGAGGAAAAUCCAGUAAUGGUAAGGUUAGGUUGAGACAAGAAAGAAGAAGAGAUUGGAAAUGUAAGAGCACUAUUGGAUUUGGAGUUUAUGAAAACCCCUUUGGUUGUUUUACUUGGAAUAGCCCAUUUGCAUUUAGACUUAUAAAUCCCAAAAAAACCAUGUAAUUCAUGCUCCUUUUUACCAGGAACUGACAUGCAUGACCCAAUCAUCCAUGACGAUACCGUCGAUGACGCCAUUUUCUUAAAAUUCCGAUCAAACUAUACAAGCCCUUUAUAUAUUAUAUAUACUUUGAACUCUAAAGAUGAAAGAAGACAAUAGCAAUGGUGAAAAAUGCAGAGGGCGGAGAGUUCAGUUCAGAAGGAGGGGGGUGGGG